AUGAUGGUCAGGCGAACUGAUUUCACAUUUGCGCAUCAUUAUGGACAACACGUCGUAGGUUUUGGAGGAGCCCGAGACAGUUACACCAAGCACUACAAUCAGAAGAGAAACAAAUAUGGCCCAGUAGGCACAUUUCACAUCGAUAUGCGCGGAACAGGACUGAAGGUUGACGAUGACCUUGCUUGGAUGCCUGAAGGACGUUAUUCGUAUGGAGAAUGGAUCAGAGACCAUGGAAAUGCCACCGUGGACCUCCUGGCAGGCGGCUAUGCGGGCGGACUGAAACCCAUCGAGCCCAUACUUCUCAUGCAUAAUCCAAACGAUAUAUACUAAAGUUUUAAACGUCGAAGUCGGACAAUCGACAAAUGGCUUCCAGGUACAAGAAAAGUUCGUCAUCUGUUAAUCAUCUACAAAUAUAUGAAACGUGAAUCACACUUGAGAUUCGUUCAACAGUUUAACCAGGCGCCGAUCUAGGGAAGGUGCUGAGGGGAGUGCCCACCCCUUUGUUUCGCCGACGUCAAAAUAUCAUAAUACCCUGUUCAAACACCUCUUAUCACGUCUGGCGUCCCCUCCCUCUCACAAACCCCUGGAUUCGCGCCUGUUAAUAAUGGAUAUUUUGCAUUAAUUAAUAUGCUCAAUGCAUAAAUUUUAAAAUAAAACGUUUCGUAGUA